UACGUAGGGGGGCUAGCGUUGUCCGGAAUCAUUGGGCGUAAAGCGCGCGUAGGCGGCCAGAUAAGUCCGGUGUGAAAGUCACAGGCUCAACCUGUGAAUGCCGCUGGAAACUGUCUGGCUAGAGUCCGGGAGGGGCGAGUGGAAUUCCUGGUGUAGCGGUGAAAUGCGCAGAUAUCAGGAGGAACACCAAUGGCGAAGGCAGCUCGCUGGAACGGUACUGACGCUGAGGCGCGAAAGCGUGGGGAGCGAACAGG
rnacentral:rRNA from 1 species